UACGUAGGUGGCAAGCGUUGUCCGGAUUUACUGGGCGUAAAGCGCGCGUAGGCGGACCUGCAAGUCGGGGGUGAAAGCCCGAGGCUCAACCUCGGAACUGCCUUCGAUACUGCGGGUCUCGAGUCCGGGAGAGGUGAGUGGAAUUCCUAGUGUAGAGGUGAAAUUCGUAGAUAUUAGGAAGAACACCAGUGGCGAAGGCGGCUCACUGGCCCGGUACUGACGCUGAGGCGCGAAAGCGUGGGGAGCAAACAGGG
rnacentral:rRNA from 1 species